AGCGAACGCUGGCGGCGUGCUUAACACAUGCAAGUCGAGCGAAGGUGUUUCAAGGGUAACCUUGAGAUACACUUAGCGGCGGACGGGUGAGUAAUACGUGGAUAACUUACCUCUAGGCCUGGGAUAACCCCGGGAACGUAGGGCGUAAUACCUAAUAAGACCACAUUGUCUACGGACGAAAGGGGUAAAAGGUAGGCUGUGCAAACAAGCUAUCG
rnacentral:rRNA from 1 species